UUUUUAAAAAAAAUAUAGAUUAUUAGAAUAUUAAAAUAAUUAGGCUAAAUUAGAGAAAACUUUUCUUUUUAUAAAUAUAUAUUUUAAUUUUUAAAAAUCUAUAUUUUGUCCUCUUAAAAUUUUAUAAAUAUUUUUAGAAGAGUAUAACAUUAAUGGAGAGAACAAAAUAUCAAAAUUACCUUUAUUUUUUAUAAAAAAAUAUUUUUUAAAUAUAUUUUUGUCAUUUUGAAGGGUAUUCUCGGUGUAAAUUAUAAAAAUGAGCAGAAUAGUGAUGGAAGCGUGACGGAGGGGGCUAAAUGCAAUAACUUAAAAUAUUAAGAGUAAAAUAUAAAUUUUUAGAAGUUAGAGAGAAAAAUAAAAAAAUAAAUAUUUAUAAGAAUUUUUCUGUAAUUUAACCAAAAUAAUUAUGAGAGAAGUUAAGAAAUGAGAGUUUAUAUAUUAUUUUUUUAUUUUUUGAGCAAUACAUUCAAUAAAAAAUAGGGUAAACUUCAAAUAUCACCCCUGUGGUUUUGCACUUUUUCACUUUAGUAUCCUGUGAUUUAAAGUGUAUCAAGUUAGUAUUCUGUGAUUUCAUUUUUAUCUUUUCGUCAGCUUUUUCGUUAAUAUUUUGUUAAAUUAUAUACAAAACUUUAGAUACACCAUCUAGAUUUAUCGAAUAUUCACUUUAGUACCCUUUAGUUUUAAUUUUGUCACUGAUUUAAUGAAAAAAAUUAGUGGAAUCGAUGAUAAAAAAAUAAAAAUAAAACCGCAUGGUACUAAAUUGAUAUACUUUAAAGCACAUGAUACUAAAUAAGAAAAGUGUGAAAUUAUAGGGAUGGUAUUUGAAGUUUUUUUCUAAAAAAUAUACAUUAAGCACUAAAAAGUUAAGAAAAACUAAAUUUUAGGAUGAAUAACUAACUUUUAUUUUUAGAUAUAAUGUAUGGUUUGUUUCCGUAACAUUCUAAUAUCUCAUUUAGGUUCUGAUAAAUUAUAGAGUGAUAGUUAAUUUCAUAAA
rnacentral:lncRNA from 1 species